rnacentral:piRNA from 1 species
AGGGUUGAAAAAAGCUACUUAUUGGGUA